CCUACGUGGGGCAGCAGUAGGGAAUAUUGCUCAAUGGGGGAAACCCUGAAGCAGCAACGCCGCGUGGAGGAUGAAGGUUUUCGGAUUGUAAACUCCUUUUGUUAGAGAAGAUAAUGACGGUAUCUAACGAAUAAGCACCGGCUAACUCCGUGCCAGAAGCCGCGGCAAUACGGAGGGUGCAAGCGUUACUCGGAAUCACUGGGCGUAAAGAGCGCGUAGGCGGGAUAGCAAGUCAGAUGUGAAAUCCUAUGGCUUAACCAUAGAACUGCAUUUGAAACUGUUAUUCUAGAGUAUGGGAGAGGUAGGUGGAAUGCUUGGUGUAGGGGUAAAAUCCGUAGAGAUCAAGAAGAAUACUCAUUGCGAAGGCGACCUGCUAGAACAUAACUGACGCUGAUGCGCGAAAGCGUGGGGAGCGAACAGGAUUAGAUACCCGUGUAGUC
rnacentral:rRNA from 1 species